AGAAACUUAGGAUUAACCACAAACCAAAGGCCUUCAAAGCCUUAAAUAAGAGUUGAACCCUCUUAGUUUCUG
rnacentral:tRNA from 1 species